GGGCCUGUAGCUCAGUUGGUUAGAGCAGGGGACUCAUAAUCCCUUGGUCCUCCGUUCAAGUCGGAGCAGGCCCA
rnacentral:tRNA from 1 species